rnacentral:rRNA from 1 species
GAUUAGCGGCGGACGGGUGAGUAACGCGUGAGCAACCUGCCUUUGUGAGGGGAAUAACACAGGGAAACUUGUGCUAAUACCGCAUGACGCAUCGGAAAUGCAUGUUACUGAUGUUAAAGGAGCAAUCCGUACAAAGAUGGGCUCGCGUCUGAUUAGAUAGUUGGUGAGGUAACGGCUCACCAAGUCGACGAUCAGUAGCCGGACUGAGAGGUUGAACGGCCACAUUGGAACUGAGAAACGGCCCAGACUCC